rnacentral:lncRNA from 1 species
AAAGGAUCAGAAACAUUGCUCACAGAAGGGAAAGUACCAUUAGUACUCAGCUCGUAUUUCUUCUCCAAAUUGCUGGUGGUUGCAGCUGUGAGACCAACCCCCAUGUCCAGUACUUCCUGUAGUACCAAAUUUCUAGCGGGGAGGUUCAAAGAUAGGCGGCCGGGCUGGAGUUUAGGCAUAUUGAUAGUAGCUCUUACCAUUCCUCUCCGGCAACGAGACGAGGAAUAAGCCACUGACGUAAUAACAGCCGAUGAAAAUUGAAGACUCACCAUGUCCACUCCUUGUACGAUCUGUAUGAGUUUCUUCUUGUUGCUAAGAUUGGUUGAUUCUAAUGGGUAUGUAGUGAAUGGCUUAGGCUUGUAGUGAAAUGUGGUGGCAAUGCAACCUGGAUUAUAUAUAGGGAAUGGGAGUGGACCAAGUACGCUAUUCAACGUUUGAAUGGUCUCAUGGGUCUUGGCUUAGACCUUUUCUUGUCUUUGGUUCAUUGGUGUUUCACCUCUCAAUUACGCUGCUCGUCAGCUUGGGCAUUGAGGCAGUACUUCAUUGACUUUCAACCUGCAAAAACCAGUACAACCUUGAAAUAAUAAAAUCAACCUUUUGCUUCUCCAAUAUUUCUGGGUCUGAAUUCUGUAGCCAUAUAUCGUUGAUCAGCAGUGACGUAACUAAAACAUGGGAUUUGUUCAAAGAUUACAAGUAUUUUGAGCAUUAUCACCAUUUUAUGAAAUUUCCAGACGUCUUUCUUUCCAAUUAACAUACCGUAUUCCAAUGAGAGAGUAGGCUUUCUUUUUGUCAAUUUUUUUUAAAAAAAAUUUAUGACUAAAUCACAAAUUCAAAAUAAUUUAUUAGUAAGGUCAAUUAUUAUUCAAAAAUAAUAAUGAGAAAUAAAGAGAUAAGUUUAGUCUUGAUAUUUUUUUUUCUUAAAAGCUUUAUAGUUUUUUUUUAUUAUCUAUACGUAUAUAUUUGAUUUUCUUCCUAUUUCUAUGACAAAUGAAAUAGAUAUUUUGAGUUUUCUAUAUUUUAUUUUAUUUUUUCCUUUUUUAUGAUCCUAACACAAGGUAAUUAAUUAUCAGAAAAAAAUCCCUCAAUUAUUAUAGGUAUUAUAUUAUAAUAAAAUGAUUGGUCUCAUUAAUGUUUAUAAUGUAAUUAAGAUAAUUGAUAAUAUAUAGAAGAAAAUGGAGAAGUUGUUGUUCUCAAUGAUAGUUUAUUUAAUAAAAGAAAACAUUUUAAAUAUUUUUCUAACUUAGAAAACAAGUUUACAAAACUUGUACAAAUUCAAAAUUUAAAAAAAAUAAUUCUGAAAAUAAAACAUUUUUUCUUUAAAAAAAAAAAAUUGACAAGUUUUCAAUUUUUUUAAAAGAAUAUUUUGAGUAAGAAAAAUGCUUUGGGACUUUUUCAUGGUACAUAAAAUAUAUAAAUACUUCUUAAGAAUAAACCACCAAAACUAUUUUUUAUAUUAAAUUUCUAAUCAAAAUUUUGUUAAUUUUGUUAAUUUUUCUUUUAAAAACGAUUAAGAAUUACUCUUAAUAUCUGUUCUAAAACUGUCGGCCCUUUGUAUUUGACUGGUCGCUGGACCAUGGAGCGGCGGUUAGAAUUUGACAGUUUGGCGGCAUCCUUUAGCAAAGAUGAGGUCAUGGGAAUAGGAGGACAGGCGCCAGUGGGCGCUGGCCCUAGUUUAUUUGGUCAAAAAGUGCUACUGUUAUAAUCCAACAUUCAGCCCUCCAUGGAAAUUGUCUUGAGACCUAAAUGUUAUGGCUUAAAGCAAGCACUAAAUGCAUCGUAUGAUCAAAUUAAUGGAUACGUCAAGGAACAAAGUGAAAAUCUAUGUUGUAUGUUAAGACAGGAGGUAUGAAUGAAAUACUUAGUAUUUGCCUUUAAGUUUAUGAUUUGAUUUAUACUAAUAAAUGUAUUAUUUUAAUGAAAGGAUUUUAGAAAGAUGAUGAUGAUUAAUUUGAGAUGAUUGAUUUAACUUGACAAGUUAUUUUCUUACUUGAAGAGUUGUUUUCUUAUGUUGGAAGUCAUCUAAUGGGAUGCAAAAAAAAAUUUAUUUUUCAAGAGAAGCAUGAAAAUAAUCUUCAUAAGAAAUUUGAACUGAAUAAUUAAAAUCCAAUGAAAACUCAUUUGAAUGUCAAUAAAAAAAUUGGUUUAAAUGAUAGGGAAGAAACGAUUGAUAUGCAACAAAUCUCACCAACAAUAGGUUAGAUAUUAUGUAAACAACAAAUCUCUUAUGAAGGCUUAUGCAAAGUUCAACUUAGCCUUUCUUUGGUGCGAUCAUCUCGCUUGUAGAUUUAGAAAUAUUUCCCUCAAAUAUGGGAAGAAAAAUGUGAAAAUAUUUCAAUUAAAAAGUAAAGAGUACGUGGGGGAGGAGGAGGGAAAACAGGGAAACUAGUAUUAUACCAGGCACAUGCAAUGAUGCUGUGGAAGAUGACACGGAACUGGCUCUCUAUUCCUAUGUAUUGUUUGCAAGAUUUCAUAUAAUAUUGAAGUUAUACAAGGAUCAAGGUGAGGGUUGCCUAACUAUAUUUCCUUGAAAACUUGAAGAUAUGAUCAUGGACAUUACCCGGCCCAUAGUAGACCAUGAAUACAAAGUUGUUCCAAGGUGGAGAUGUCAAUUAUUCGAUCAUGACCACCUUAAAUAAAUAAUUUAAUUCGAAAAUUAAUUAGAAUAAAACAACACGUUUGACAUAAAUCAGUACCCAUAGUAGACCCUAGGAUUUCCGGAAAUUUAAGGUUCACAUUUAACCCUAGAAGUCAACAUGAGUGUAAAAGUACUCCAUGAAAUCUAUAUAAAAACUAGCUAGAACAUUAUUUCUAAAUCUUGGAGUCUAUUAAUUAAUUUUUCCUUCUUGUUGGAUUCUAAUUCUCAGCAAUCAAAGUUCGUUAAAAUUAAAUGGAGUGACAACUAUCUAGUGUAAAGAAAGAAUCAUUUGGUGGCAAACCCACCAUUUACUUUGGCUUAUGAUAGAAGUCAGAACCUCCUCAGACUCAAAAGUACCUGCCUUAUUUCAAUAGAGUCCAAACGAAGGAAUGAUAAUUUUGACCUUUUCCAUGUAUAGUUUACAUUGUUUUUCCUCCUCCAAUGGCCUCUAUAUAUAGUAUAUAUGGACUCGACUAACCCACCAAUCCCAUAAGAAAAUGAAACUUUUCUGUCUCAGAAGCUGCAUUUUCUUAGUUGCCAUUUGGAUUUUCAUGCUUUCUUCACUAGAAAAAAAAAAAACUAAAGAAACUUUAGAUGAUAAGGAAAAAGUAUCAAGUAUUACAUUGUUUAUUAUUCAUGGACUUUCACUCCAAAUUGACCCAGAAAUACAUCGGUUUUAGCUGAAAGCAUAUAAAACUUAUUAAUUUUCAGUUUUGAUGAGCAGAUGUGUUCAAAUUGCUGUAUAGAAAACCGACUAAUUCAAUUUCCAUGGAAUAUUCAGACCUUUUAGCAGUCUGAUUUCAAUUGAAUGAAUGAAUAAAUGAAUUACUAGAUUGUACAGCUCUAUUGUGUUUAUAGACAAGGUUAGCUUACAAUGAUAUACAAGAUUUAGUGUAUUAUCAACAAAACUGAGGAUGAACCACCACGAUAUUAGAAGAGCUUGCUUGCGAACUCUUCAAUGGCCUCUCCUUUUUGGGAAGAAGAAUAAGAGGAUGCUGCCAGAUCCUUGAGCCCGGACAAGCUUCUUCCUAGCUGUAGAGCCACCUUCAUUUCAAACAAUUCCCCAUUCUCUCUUCUCCCCACAUCUCUUUCAUUCAGAUUUGACUCUAUGCUCUCUUCCAUCAUCCGGAAGAAGCCUGCGUUGCCUCUAUACAUCUCAAACACCAUGCCCACUUGCCCGCCAUGCUCCAUUGUGUUCACCACGCUUGCCAUGGCUCCAGCUACGACUCCUAGUGUCGCGGCCCAGGGACCGUGAGAAGAUCCCACGAACGCAGUUCCACAAGCCGCUAAGCCUGUCAAUAAGGGGCCAGAAAUGGCGAGUAUCUUGUUAACUUUCAAGGCUAUUUUGCCCAGCCUCAAAUAGUCUUCAGUGUCCUUCCUCUUCAAAACCCCAACAACUUCUCUCAUUUCUUCCUCCAACUCCACACUCCAACCAUUUCCAUCUGUUCUCCCACUAUGCCUUUCCUGUCUUUGCCUGUGCUCGGGCCACCAUACAGCAGGUUCCACAGUUUCGGGGAAUUUAUCAAGCAUCGCUCCUAGUAAAGGAAGCGGGAAUGCCUUGUCCAGUGCCAAAACCUCCUCCAUGGCUUCCUCAACAUCGUUACUAGUAGGAGUGCCACAAGAGAGUGUUCUUUGAAUCUGGCCAUGAAGCUGCUUAAACAGCCUCGCGGCAUUGCGCUGUUCUUCGACCAGUUGAGAUGGCUGGAUCUUAUUCAUCACCACCAACAUCCCAGUGGCUGCCAAAUACAUGAGAGUUGAAGAGAGCUUGAGGGCCACAAGGGGUCCUCCUACACUUGUAGCAGCAAUUCCAGCCAUAGUUGCAGCAGUGAGUGUGAUUGCAUUAAUGGAUGUCAAAAGAAGAUGGUUCCAAUUAUCACGCUGCUCCCCGAUAUUCUUGUGCAUCUCCACUCUAUCUGCAACAGCCUCCAUCAUUGCAUGGAGCUUAGCAAUCACCAUAGGAUCAGAAACAUUGCUCACACGAGGCAAAGUAGUAUUAGGUCUGGACUCGUAUUUCUUCUCUACAUGGCUGGUGGUUGCAGCUGUGAGACCAACUCCCAUGUCCAGUACUUCCUGUACCAGAUCUCUAGCGGGGAGCUUCAGAGAUAGGCCGCCAGUCCGGAGCUUAGGCAUAUUGAUAGUAGCUCUUAUCAUUCCUCUCCGGCAACAAGAUAAGGAAUGAGGCAAUGAACCAAUAACGCCUGAAGAUUGAAGACUUGCCAUGUUCUCUCCUCGUAUGAUCUGUAUGAGUUUCUUCUGGUUGCUAAGAUUGGGUUAUUCUAACGGGCGGGUAUUGAAUGGCUUAGGCUUGAAGAAGUGUAGUGAAAUGGGGUAGAGAUGCAACCUGGAUUAUAUAUAGGGAAUGGGAGUGGACCAAGUAUGCUGUUCAACGUUUGAAUGGGCUCAUGGGUCUUGAUUUAGACUGUUUCUCGUCUUCGGUUUAUUGGGGGUUUCACCCUUCUAUUAGGCUGCUUGUAAGCCAGAGCAUUCAAGCAGUCCUCCAUUGACUUUCAACCUGAAAAAACCAGUAAAACCUAGCAAUGGGCAAAGACAUUACAAGUAUAUAUUUUAAUUAACUGUACAAAAUCUGACCGAUUAUGAACAAUUUCCACAGCUCAUUUAUGACUUUUUAGAGAUAUUUGUCAAAUGGAUUGAGGUAAUAUAUGACCAAUAAUUUAAAUUUAAAUUCGUGGUAAUAGCACUAAUGGGUCAUGACCAGAAACAAUAAAAUCAACCUUUAAUUUGCUUCUCCAAUAUUUCUGGGUUUCAAUGCUGUAGCCAUAUAUGACUUUUUUUUAAAAUUAUUAUAACUAAAUUGUUGCAAAAUUUAAUGAGAAAUUUAAAUACUUUGCACUAAAACCUCUUGUGCCUUGCUUAUCACUAUGACAACACUUAAAUUACCUGAUCUUUCCAAUUGCCUUAAUUUCUAUUUAGUUUUUCUUAAUUCAUAUUCUUUAGUUUGUCACUAUCACCUAAAAUAGUAUUUUCCUAUUCGAAAUAAUAAAAUAAAUCCUCCACUACUGAUUUCUAAUUUGAAUAAUUUGUAACCAUGAGUUUAAUAACAGUGUUAUGAAUGUUACCCAAAUCAUCCAUUAUAAUCAGCACAAAAAUAAAAAUCCUUGAAUAACAAAGGCUAUAAUAAUAUUUGUUGGGAAAAAAACUAGAACCUUUGAAUAAUUCAGAUAUAAAAACUUAAGAGUUUAAGAUCUUCUAUUGUGGAAUUACCCAAAAGAGGGAUUUGCAAUUUAUGUAUUCUUUCAUUGGAAAAUAAUUGAUCAAUACAAGCAAAAAGCAUUCAAUCACAUACAUUGACAUGCCAUUUAUAUAAAAAAUAAAAAUUAAAAUCACUUACAAAGUUUGUCAAAGACUUUGGGAAACCUAAAAAUUUUAGGGUCAGAAACCAUAAAACUAAAAUUCAUAAAAUUUGAAAAAUUAGAUAUAUAAUUUUACUUUAUAGUUACUAUCUUUUGAAACUUAUACCAAUAGAACCUACAUCUAUUCUCACAUCUAUGACACAAUACAUUCAUGCUUCUUAGUAGACUCCUCAACACUUUAAAGAGAUACCAUUCUAAUACUUCAAACCCAAAGAAUUUUGAUUUUUUUUUUGUUUUUUUUUUUCUUUUUGUUUGACAAUGUUAAAGGUAAAAAAUAAUGGCAUAAAUUUUAGGCACAUCAGUUCAAAAUCAUUGAAUACCAAACAUAUGUAUAAGGGAUAAACCCUAGUGGACUUGGACUCAAAUUAAAAAUAACAUUUUACCAAAAAAAAAAAAUCGAAAACUUGAAUUUGGAAAAUGGUAGAAACUGGGUUAGUUAUUGUUCAAAGACUUGAGCGCUAUUCAAAGGCAGUUAACUACUAUCCUGAGGGUGCUUAAGUGCUCUCUCAAAAAUUUCUUUUUCAAUUAAAUUUUUAUGCCCAAUUUUUCUUUUCUUUUCUUUUUUCCUUUUUUUUGUGAUAAUCUUUCAAUUGAAAUUCAUUUUUAUACUUAAUUUUUAUAUAAUUCUACUAUAUGCCUUAUAUAAGUCAUUGACUUUUUCAUAACCCAAUAAUACUUGUCUAAAAGCAUAUAAAGUCUUAAUCUACCAACAUAACUAAAUAACCUAAUACACUAAUAGAAACAAGUUUAAGAGAACCGAUUAAUUCUUUUUCAUCCUUUGAGUAAUUAAAUAGACAUGUAAAUUAACUAAGAAAUAUCAAGCAAAUAAAAUAGGAAAAAUAAGUCAACAAGAUUUACAAAAUUUAAGAGAUUAGUUUUAUGUAGAAAAUAAUCUAAUGUGAAAAAAGAAAAAAAGAAAAAAAACUCAUUAGUUGCAAUCCACUCAAAUCCUCUAUUAAUAAAAAAAUUAUGGGGUAAAAUUAAUUCAAAAAAAAGAAAAACUAGAGACUAUCAUUCAUUAGCUACUCAUUCAAAGGUAGAUUUCAACAAAUAUCAUUAAAUUCAAAAGUUUGCAUCUUUUCAAUGUACAAGCAAUAAAAAGAGAAUAAACAAUUUAUGAUUCAAAUUGAUGAAAACAUAACUUAGAUCACUACCAAUAAUAUAUGGAAAUUUUAAGAUUAGAAUACGUAAAGAUUAACAAUCGGAUCUUAUGUUAUUCAUAUGAGAAAAACUCCUAAUAACAGAGAUUAAAAUAUCAUAUAUCAAAGGAUUAAUUGAUAUUUUUUAGAUUUUAUCAAUCUUAUGGCGACUUUAAUGUUAUGUCACAAUCUCUCUCUCUCUCUCAUGUUAGAUUGAGUAGAUGCCACAACCUCCACAAAAUAUAUAUAUAUAUAUAUAUAUAUAUAUAUAUAUAUAUAUAUAUAUAUAUAUAUAUAUAUAUAUAUAUUUGGUAUGACCCCUUCCAAUGUGAAGGUUGUGGUACCUACUCACUCUUCUUUCUUUUUCUCUCCCUCUCUCUUAUUUUUAAGUUUGAAUGAGUACCACAACCUCCACAUGGACAGGGGCCACGCCAACUUCUAUCUAUAAAUAAAUAAGAGAGAGAAUCCAAUGGUAAGAAAUCAAUACACUACCAAAUUGAAAAUAAUAAAGAGAUUUACCUAUUUCAAGUGCUCAAUUCUUACUUGAAAUUACGAGGGAUUUUAGAUUUUCACCAAAAAUUAUAAGAAAACUUAUAUACCUAGAAUUAUAACGUUAAAUGGUUCACAAUUUAUAAAAAAAGAUAAAAAUUACAAUAAAGGAUUGAUCAGUCAUCAAGUAGGCAGUCAAACUGUGAGCAAAUUUUAACAGCACUCAUAUCACUAUAUAUUUAAAUCGAUUACUUUAUAUUACAAUCAAUCCACAAAUUGACCAAAAAUACGUACUCUUAGUGGUCCACACUAUUUAGUCACCUUCAAAGAGCUGGUGAGGUACCCCACAGUACUCCAUCACAUCUAAUGGUUUGAUGAUAUUUAAUAUUUAAAUUUUGGAACCAAACAUAUUCUAAGAAAUGCCUUUUUUUUAAGACAUAAUUUGACUUCUUCUUUUUUUUUUAAACUAGAUCCAUCAUCCUCGGCUGUUGCCAAACAGUACUAAAAGCAGAUCUCCUUUUGGGCAUUUCAAUUAUAUAUUUGAACAAUGCAAAGGGAUGAUAAUAUAAUUAUGUUACCAGUUCUUCACUUUUGAGUAAAUAAAUGGGAAUGGUGAGGACAAAGGGAUAAUGUCUGCACAUCGACAAGCCACCCCACAAUUUCUUCUCUUUUGGUUAUAUUCUUGAUUGCAUUUUCGCCAAAGUUCACAUCACAUAAAUUUAUCAUUAAUUAAAUGAAAGGUAAUCAUAGAAAAUGUAGCCAUAAUUACGACCUUAAUACCUCUUGGAUAUGGCAAAAGAUCGCAUGGCAAAUUUUAGGCCCCAAAGGUCAACAGAGGAUUGUGUACACCCUAUAAAAAUCUUUUUAAAAACUGACAACUAACACAGAAUUCAUACCUCUUGGAGUCUAUUUAAUGGAGUGACAACUAUCUACUGUAAAGAGAAUCAUUUGGUAGCAAACCCAUCGUUGACUCUGGCUCUUAUGAUAAAAGUUAGUGUCUCCUCGACUCACAGAUAUCUGUCUUAUUUCAAUAGAGUUCAAACAAGGAAUGAUAAUUUUGACCUUUUCCAUGUGUGGAUCAUUAAUUGCGUAGUUUGUCUUCUUCCAAUGACUUCUAUGCAUAUAAUGGAUUCUAAUAGCCAACCAACCCCGUAAGAAAAUGAAAUUUUCAACCUCAGGAGCUGCAUUUUCUUAGUUGUCAUUUGGAUUUUCAUGCUUUCUUGCAGUAGAAAGAAAACCAAAGAAACUUUAUGAUAAAGAAAAACGAUGAAUUAUCACAGUGACCCAGAAAAUACAUCAGUUUUAGCAGAAAGCAUAUUUUCUCAAUUUUCAGUUUUGGUGAGUGUUGUGUUCAAAUUGCUGUAUAGAAAAUGGACUAAUUCAAUUUCCAUGGAAUAUUCAGACCUUUACCAGUCUGAUUUCAAUUGAAUGAAUGAAUAAAUGAACAAAUGAAUUACUAGAUUGUACAGCUCUAUCGUGUUUAUAGACAAGGUUAGCUUACAAUGAUAUACAAGAUUUAGUGUAUUAUCAACAAAACUGAGGAUGAACCACCACGAUAUUAGAAGAGCUUGCUUGCGAACUCUUCAAUGGCCUCUCCUUUUUUAGAAGAAGAACAAGAGGAUGCUGCCAGACCCUUGAGCCCGGACAAGCUUCUUCCUAGCUGUAGAGCCACCUUCAUUUCGAACAAUUCCCCGUUCUCUCUUCUCCCCACAUCUCUUUCAUUCAGAUUUGACUCUAUGCUCUCUUCCAUCAGCCGGAAGAAGCCUGCGUUGCUUCUAUACAUCUCAAACACCAUGCCCACUUGCCCGCCAUGCUCCAUUGUGUUCACCACGCUUGCCAUGGCUCCAGCCACGACUCCUAGUGUCGCGGCCCAGGGACCGUGAGAAGAUCCCACGAACGCAGUUCCACAAGCCGCUAAGCCUGUCAAUAAGGGACCAGAAAUGGCGAGCAUCCUAUUAACUUUCAAGGCUAUUUUGCCCAGCCUCAAAUAGUCUUCAGUGUCCUUUCUCUUCAAAACCCCAACUACUUCUCUCAUUUCUUCCUCCAACUCCACACUCCAACCAUUUCCAUCUGUUCUCCCACUCUGCCUGUCCUGCCUUUGCCUGUGCUCCGGCCACCAUACAGCAGGCUCCACAGUUUUGGGGAAUUUAUCGAGCAUCGCUCCUAGUAAAGGAAGCGGGAAGGCCUUGUCCAGUGACAAAACUUUCUCCAUAACUUCCUCAACAUCGGUACUAGUAGGAGUGCCACAAGAGAGUGUUCUUUGAAUCUGGCCAUGAAGCUGCUUAAACAACCUCGCGGCAUUGCGCUGUUCUUCGACGAGUUGAGAUGGCUGGAUCUUAUUCAUCACCACCAACAUCCCAGUGGCUGCCAAAUACAUGAGAGUUGAAGAGAUCUUGAGCGCUACAAGGGGUCCUCCUACACUUGUAGCAGCAAUUCCAGCCAUGGUUGCAGCAGUGAGUGUGAUUGCAUUAAUGGAUGUCAAAAGAAGAUGGUUCCAAUUAUCACGCUGCUCCCCGAUAUUCUUGUGCAUCUCCACUCUAUCUGCCACAGCCUCCAUGAUUGCAUGGAGUUUAGCAAUCACCGAAGGAUCAGAAACAUUGCUCACAGAAGGGAAAAUACCAUUAGUACUCGGCUCGUGUUUCUUCUCCAAAUUGCUGGUGGUUGCAGCUGUGAGACCAACUCCCAUGUCCAGUACUUCCUGUAGUACCAAAUCUCUAGCGGGGAGGUUCAAAGAUAGGCGGCCGGGCUGGAGUUUAGGCAUAUUGAUAGUAGCUCUUAUCAUUCCUCUCCGGCAACGAGAUGAGGAAUAAGCCACUGACGUAAUAACAGCCGAUGAAAAUUGAAGACUCACCAUGUCCUCUCCUUUUGUGAUCU